UGCCAUUCCAUCCAGGGGCAGUGGCAAC
rnacentral:piRNA from 1 species